AUCAGAUCAUCGAGGAAUUAAAUGAUUGAACUGUGUCUUUCUUCUUCUCCAAGCUCUCUCUUCCCCAGAUCUCCUUUCUCCCCACCGGAACCCUACCGGCGGCCAUCUCACCGCCGGGCAGGACAUAACAAUAGCUGCGCCUGCACUUGUUUCUUCCCUCUACUGCCUAUCCCCUCGCCGGCGUCCGUCCUUCCCCAUCUCCCAAGAUCUGCUCCGCUGCAAUUCUCAUGUCCCCUCCGGCGACGGCGACGGCCGGCUGUCGGGAUUGACGAAGGCUGUCAACUGGGCUUGGAGGAAAAAGCUCGAUGAUCUUGCAGAUGAUGAGCAUGGCAAGCUGUUGUGUCUGUGCCGAGGUGCUGCUGCGUUAUGAUGCCUGAUAAUUGAGCUCCUCUUCUACAGCCUGUGAAUCGCGGAGUUGUUGCUGGAGACCGAGAUGACGAGCACGACAAACUGCUGUGUCGACGGCGACGAGCGCAUUGAGCUGGUGAUGCUGUUGUGGCUGCAGAUGAUGAUGACGAGCGGCUUCGGCGGCGAUGAGCACAACGAGUUGGUGAGCUGCAGAUCAAGAAGGCGAUGGUGAUAUUCAAAAGAAGCUGAUGGUACAAGUUCUAGCAGAGUGACUCUUCCUCGUUUGGUUAUGUUUUGAAUGGGUGUAAUGGAUCCAGUUUUGAAUGUUGGUAUCAAUUUUCCUAAGAAAGCAUGUCAGAAAUUUAUGCUUCUUGAAAGAGUUCAAUUGGUGCUACCAUGAUUGCUGAAAUUUAGAUAAUCAUGACGCUACAAAUGUUGAUGUGCGCAUUUGUCUAGAUUCUUGUUUAAAUUAUUUGUAUAAUGUUGUGUCUCGGACUUCCAGUUUUGUAGAAUUGCUAUUAUUUUGAUUUUCUCAAUGAAUGAACGAUUGUCUAUUUGUUUUA